GCCAGAAUGGGUGCAGUGGUUUGAGCAUUGGAUUAUGACUCUGGAGGCCAGGGUUCAAUUCCCAUCUUUGUCA